AAUAGAUACCCCAGGUAGUCCACGCCGUAAACGAUGAGUGCUAAGUGUUAGAGGGUUUCCGCCCUUUAGUGCUGCAGCUAACGCAUUAAGCACUCCGCCUGGGGAGUACGGUCGCAAGACUGAAACUCAAAGGAAUUGACGGGGGCCCGCACAAGCGGUGGAGCAUGUGGUUUAAUUCGAAGCAACGCGAAGAACCUUACCAGGUCUUGACAUCCCACUGACCGGUAUAGAGAUAUACCUUUCCCUUCGGGGACAGUGGUGACAGGUGGUGCAUGGUUGUCGUCAGCUCGUGUCGUGAGAUGUUGGGUUAAGUCCCGCAACGAGCGCAACCCUUGAUCUUAGUUGCCAGCAUUUAGUUGGGCACUCUAAGGUGACUGCCGGUGACAAACCGGAGGAAGGUGGGGAUGACGUCAAAUCAUCAUGCCCCUUAUGACCUGGGCUACACACGUGCUACAAUGGAUGGUACAAAGGGCUGCAAGACUGCGAAGUCAAGCCAAUCCCAUAAAACCCAUUCUCAGUUCGGAUUGCAGG
rnacentral:rRNA from 1 species